GUCUCAGGCCGGAUCAGCCUGAAGGCGCUCGAUCUCGUCUGAUCUCGGAAGCUAAGCAGGGUCGGGCCUGGUUAGUAUCUUGGAUGGGAGACCACCUGGGAAUCCCGGGUGCUCGAGGCU
rnacentral:rRNA from 1 species